rnacentral:rRNA from 1 species
UCUGACCUACGGGGCGCAGCAGUGAGGAAUAUUGGUCAAUGGGCGCGAGCCUGAACCAGCCAAGUCGCGUGAAUGAAGAAGGCCUUCGGGUUGUAAAAUUCUGUUAUAAGGGAAGAAAGGUGAUAGGAGGAAAUGACUAUCAAUUGACGGUACCUUAUGAGAAAGCCACGGCUAACUACGUGCCAGCAGCCGCGGUAAUACGUAGGUGGCAAGCGUUAUCCGGAAUUAUUGGGCGUAAAGAGCGCGCAGGUGGUUAAUUAAGUCUGAUGUGAAAGCCCACGGCUUAACCGUGGAGGGUCAUUGGA